rnacentral:rRNA from 1 species
ACGCUCGACACCUACGGAGGCGGCAGUAGGGAAUCUUCCACAAUGGGCGCAAGCCUGAUGGAGCAACACCGCGUGAGUGAAGAAGGGUUUCGGCUCGUAAAGCUCUGUUGUUGGAGAAGAACGUGCGUGAGAGUAACUGUUCACGCAGUGACGGUAUCCAACCAGAAAGUCACGGCUAACUACGUGCUAGCAGCCGCGGUAAUCUGAGCGGGCUGGCAAGGC